UACAGGGGGGGCAAGCGUUGUUCGGAAUUACUGGGCGUAAAGGGUCUGUAGGUGGCCAACUAAGUCAGACGUGAAAUCCCUCAGCUUAACUGGGGAACUGCGUCUGAUACUGGAUGGCUUGAGUGUGGGAGAGGGAUGCGGAAUUCCAGGUGUAGCGGUGAAAUGCGUAGAUAUCUGGAGGAACACCGGUGGCGAAGGCGGCAUCCUGGACCGGCAUUGACGCUGAUGAGCGAAAGCCAGGGGAGCAAACGGG
rnacentral:rRNA from 1 species